AUUGAACGCUGGCGGCAUGCCUUACACAUGCAAGUCGAACGGUAACAGGUCUUCGGAUGCUGACGAGUGGCGAACGGGUGAGUAAUACAUCGGAACGUGCCUAGUAGUGGGGGGUAACUACUCGAAAGAGUGGCUAAUACCGCAUGAGAUCUACGGAUGAAAGCAGGGGAUCGCAAGACCUUGUGCUACUAGAGCGGCCGAUGGCAGAUUAGGUAGUUGGUGGGAUAAAAGCUUACCAAGCCGACGAUCUGUAGCUGGUCUGAGAGGACGAUCAGCCACACUGGGACUGAGACACGGCCCAGACUCCUACGGGAGGCAGCAGUGGGGAAUUUUGGACAAUGGGCGCAAGCCUGAUCCAGCAAUGCCGCGUGCAGGAUGAAGGCCUUCGGGUUGUAAACUGCUUUUGUACGGAACGAAAAGCCCUGGGUUAAUACCCUGGGGUCAUGACGGUACCGUAAGAAUAAGCACCGACUAACUACGUGCCAGCAGCCGCCGUAA
rnacentral:rRNA from 1 species